AUGCACGGCACCAAGCAGGGGUGCGCCUGCCCUGGGGGCUGGCACCACUGCGGAUGCACUGGGGGCACGCAGAGAGCUUUGAAAGCUGCUUUGGGGGCAGAAAUGGGGAGCAGAGGGGUGAAAUGUCCCCCUGACACAACACCCAGGCUUCCAUUGCCACUGGGUAACACUCCCCUGGCUCCUGUGGCAAACCCCCCCCCCCCCGACAAUGCUCUCAGGGGUAGGGAAGACGUCUGCCAAUCUCUCCUCCAGGCUCACAUCCCUCCUGUUUUCUUCCCCACGCAGCUCACGGGAAGGCAGAGCAUAGGAACAAGACCUGGACCAGCAAAAGGUCCAUCCCUGUUUCCAACGCCAGCGAGCCGCUGCGGUGCCUCCGGCCGGUGCUGCUGCGGGACACGGGGGCGGGGGAAGCGGCUGCGGGACCGCAGUGCAGGCUGGACCGCGGCGAGCAGACAUCACUGCAGUGCCUCCUCCGCGCCGUCCCGCGGUGAUCGGCUGCGCCGGCGAACAGCCACGGCGAGCUGCGAGCUCGGAAAUAAUUAAACAGCUAACGGCGGGCCAGCCGCGCGCUGCCUGCUGCUGUCUUUCCACAACGGCUGGCGGCUCAGGUAGGGAAGCAGCGAGACAAAGGCCCUGCUGCUUUGUCAUCACCGGGCUCAGCCUCGCUGUUUUGGCUGCAUCCACCCACCCCUUGCUACUUGGGAGGGCAACAGGUGUGCGGAUACACGGCAGCACCUCUGCAUCUCACUGCGUGCUCCUUCCUCACCUCCCUGCAGGCCAGAAGCUGCAUCUUUGUCCCCCAAACCAACCUCUGGUGUCUUCGAUGCAGAGACCAAGGGGUGACAGACGCUCCACAGCUCUGCAUCAGCCCAGGAGGCAGCACGGCAGCACUGCUCCUUGAGGAGGCCAAGCAGCGCUGUGAUGCCAGAGCCCCCAUAGCCCCCACACCCUUCAGUCACCCGAGGGCAACAUCAGCACAGGUCUGACCCGCAAGGGAAACCAUCUUCAUGCUCUUACAUGCCUCCAUCAUGCUGCUGCUGCCACACAAUCAGCAACAAACCAGAAGAGCAAAAGUCACAUGAAUUAAAGCUGCUCGCUUUUGCUCGGUGAGCUUUAACCUGCGGCGGUUCCCAGGCACGUUCGCGGCUCAGUGAAUACUGGAAGUGCUUCUGUCUACUGAUCCACUCCUUGUGGGUGCCUGGGGCUCAGAGCCAGCCCAGGGAUGCGUGAGGAACCCACAGACUUGGGUGAGACCUUCCCAUCCCGUCCUGUACCACAGCAGCACUCUCUCCUCCUGGUGCUCAUCACCCAGCGCAGGAUUGCUCAGCACCAUCCUCUGCUCAGCCCCACCCGUGAGACCUCAGUGCAGAAUAGGGGAGAACAGCCCUACCUGGCAACAAGGGCAAAUUACCACGUUCAGCACUUCAUCACUGAAGAAAAAGGGGAUUAGAGACCAUGCCAUGAGCUGAAGUCCCUCUGGGUACAGGCUCGAGGCUGGUGUACCCCAGCACUGAAGCCACACGGCAGCCAAGCAGGACGCCUA
rnacentral:lncRNA from 1 species